rnacentral:rRNA from 1 species
GACGAACGCUGGCGGCGUGCCUAAUACAUGCAAGUCGAACGCAGUGGGGACGGGUGAGUAACACGUGGGUAACCUCCCAUCAGAGGGGAUAACACUUGGAAACAGGUGCUAAACCGAUACUGAUGGAUGGACCCGCGGUGCAUUGGCUAGUUGGUUAGGUAACGGCUCACCAAGGCCACGAUGCAUAGCCGGCUGGAGGGGGGGAUAGGCCACACUGGGACUGAGGCACGGUCCAGAGUCCUACGGGAGGCAGCAGGGGGGAAGCUUCGGCAAUGGACGAAAGUCUGACCGAGCAACGCCGCGGGAGUGAAGAAGGUUUUCAGAUCGUAAAACUCUGUUGUUAGGGAAGCGGUAUCUAACCAGAAAGCCACGGCUAACUACGUGCCAGCAGCCGCGGUAAUAC